UCGAUUAGAGUUUGAUUAUGGCUCAGAACGAACGCUGGCGGCGUGGAUAAGACAUGCAAGUCGAGCGAAAUACUGGCGAUAGCAAUAUUGCCGGUGUUUAGCGGCGAAAGGGUGCGUAACACGUAGCUCACCUACCUUCAAGUGGGGGAUAAUCCCGCGAAAGCGGGACUAAUACCGCAUGUGAUUGUGAAAUUAAAGCUGGGGAUCGCAAGACCUGGCGCUUGAAGAUGGGGCUGCGGCCUAUCAGCUAGUUGGCGGGGUAACGGCCCACCAAGGCGAAGACGGGUAGCUGGUCUGAGAGGACGACCAGCCACACUGGAACUGAGACACGGUCCAGACACCUACGGGUGGCAGCAGUCGAGGAUUUUUCUCAAUGGGGGAAACCCUGAAGGAGCGACGCCGCGUGGGGGAUGAAGGUCUUCGGAUUGUAAACCCCUGUCAUCUGGGAUCAAAGCUCCGACGCCAAUACCGUCGGAGUUGAUAGUACCAGAAGAGGAAGCCGUGGCUAACUCUGUGCCAGCAGCCGCGGUAAUACAGAGACGGCGAGCGUUGUUCGGAUUCAUUGGGCGUAAAGGGUGCGCAGGCGGCCGGGCAAGUCGGAUGUGAAAUCUCACAGCCUAACUGUGAAAGGUCAUUCGAAACUGCCCGGCUUGAGGGCUGGAGNNNAGACUGGAAUUGUCGGUGUAGCGGUGNNNUGCGUAGNGAUCGACAAGAACACCGGUGGCGA
rnacentral:rRNA from 1 species